rnacentral:lncRNA from 1 species
CAGAGUUGGGAGAAGAUUGAAAUCCGAAGUUAUAACAAACAAUCUCUCAACCUCAUUCAGCUCAGGAAAUCUCAUGACAUGCGACUGGCCACAUUGUUAGAGGACAUACAAAGUUUACGGUCUUUGUUUCGCACCUACUCCUUUUGUUUAGUUAGUAGGGAUCUUAACCAUAUUAGUAAUAGGAUUAGCGCUUAUGCGUUAAACAUUGUUCAAGAUGAGGAAUUUUGGAUUCCUCAGUGUUAAUAUGCA